GAGUCUUAACCGGGCGUUAAGUUGCAGGGUAUAGACCCGAAACCCGGUGAUCUAGCCAUGGGCAGGUUGAAGGUUGGGUAACACUAACUGGAGGACCGAACCGACUAAUGUUGAAAAAUUAGCGGAUGACCUGUGGCUGGGGGUGAAAGGCCAAUCAAACCGGGAGAUAGCUGGUUCUCCCCGAAAGCUAUUUAGGUAGCGCCUCGUGAAUUCAUCUCCGGGGGUAGAGCACUGUUUCGGCUAGGGGGCCAUCCCGGCUUACCAACCCGAUGCAAACUGCGAAUACCGGAGAAUGUUAUCACGGGAGACACACGGCGGGUGCUAACGUCCGUCGUGAAGAGGGAAACAACCCAGACCGCCAGCUAAGGUCCCAAAGUCAUGGUUAAGUGGGAAACGAUGUGGGAAGGCCCAGACAGCCAGGAUGUUGGCUUAGAAGCAGCCAUCAUUUAAAGAAAGCGUAAUAGCUCACUGGUCGAGUCGGCCUGCGCGGAAGAUGUAACGGGGCUAAACCAUGCACCGAAGCUGCGGCAGCGAACGUAUCACCCAAGACAACUUUACGGAGUUGACGAUUGACGGAGCGAAGCGACGUCAAAGCGUUCAUUAAAGUCGAGUUGGCUUAGGGAUACGUUCGUUGGGUAGGGGAGCGUUCUGUAAGCCUGUGAAGGUGUGUCGUGAGGCAUGCUGGAGGUAUCAGAAGUGCGAAUGCUGACAUAAGUAACGAUAAAGCGGGUGAAAAGCCCGCUCGCCGGAAGACCAAGGGUUCCUGUCCAACGUUAAUCGGGGCAGGGUGAGUCGACCCCUAAGGCGAGGCCGAAAGGCGUAGUCGAUGGGAAACGGGUUAAUAUUCCCGUACUUGGUGUUACUGCGAAGGGGGGACGGAGAAGGCUAUGUUGGCCGGGCGACGGUUGUCCCGGUUUAAGCGUGUAGGUGUGUGUUCCAGGUAAAUCCGGUUCACUUUAACACUGAGGCGUGACGACGAGGCACUACGGUGCUGAAGCAACAAAUGCCCUGCUUCCAGGAAAAGCCUCUAAGCAUCAGGUAACAUCAAAUCGUACCCCAAACCGACACAGGUGGUCAGGUAGAGAAUACCAAGGCGCUUGAGAGAACUCGGGUGAAGGAACUAGGCAAAAUGGUGCCGUAACUUCGGGAGAAGGCACGCUGACACGUAGGUGAAGUGAUUUACUCAUGGAGCUGAAGUCAGUCGAAGAUACCAGCUGGCUGCAACUGUUUAUUAAAAACACAGCACUGUGCAAACACGAAAGUGGACGUAUACGGUGUGACGCCUGCCCGGUGCCGGAAGGUUAAUUGAUGGGGUCAGCGCAAGCGAAGCUCCUGAUCGAAGCCCCGGUAAACGGCGGCCGUAACUAUAACGGUCCUAAGGUAGCGAAAUUCCUUGUCGGGUAAGUUCCGACCUGCACGAAUGGCGUAAUGAUGGCCAGGCUGUCUCCACCCGAGACUCAGUGAAAUUGAACUCGCUGUGAAGAUGCAGUGUACCCGCGGCAAGACGGAAAGACCCCGUGAACCUUUACUAUAGCUUGACACUGAACAUUGAGCCUUGAUGUGUAGGAUAGGUGGGAGGCUUUGAAGUGUGGACGCCAGUCUGCAUGGAGCCGACCUUGAAAUACCACCCUUUAAUGUUUGAUGUUCUAACGUGGACCCGUAAUCCGGGUUGCGGACAGUGUCUGGUGGGUAGUUUGACUGGGGCGGUCUCCUCCUAAAGAGUAACGGAGGAGCACGAAGGUUGGCUAAUCCUGGUCGGACAUCAGGAGGUUAGUGCAAUGGCAUAAGCCAGCUUGACUGCGAGCGUGACGGCGCGAGCAGGUGCGAAAGCAGGUCAUAGUGAUCCGGUGGUUCUGAAUGGAAGGGCCAUCGCUCAACGGAUAAAAGGUACUCCGGGGAUAACAGGCUGAUACCGCCCAAGAGUUCAUAUCGACGGCGGUGUUUGGCACCUCGAUGUCGGCUCAUCACAUCCUGGGGCUGAAGUAGGUCCCAAGGGUAUGGCUGUUCGCCAUUUAAAGUGGUACGCGAGCUGGGUUUAGAACGUCGUGAGACAGUUCGGUCCCUAUCUGCCGU
rnacentral:rRNA from 1 species